rnacentral:misc_RNA from 1 species
UUCUAACUUGCGUUAGGGAUUGCAGCGGCAUCCUUUUUUUGCUGCCAUAAAUGGCAAAAAAAGACCUGCCUGCCUGCCUGCCUGCCGGCAGGUAUAGCGUAAAGCCCGACCCUUG